rnacentral:misc_RNA from 1 species
CGUUUUAAGUGGCUCCUCCUCUAUCGCUGGACCCUGUUUUGCCGUAUAAGAAGCGUCUUACAUCGUUCUCCUGUUUCAUCGAGUUUUCUGACAAGCAGGUUUAAAUGUGCCUGGACUUGAGCAAGAAAAAUACCAUAUUUUUCAAGUUUUAAAUGCAUCGACGAAGUGUAACAAGGUGGUCCUGAGAUUUCUGGUUCGAUUAACGGGCCGGCUAUGGAUCAACGCGCCAGGUCCAAGGUGGAGGUCGCUUUUUUGUCCUUUUCAGCACACGGCAAUACGUCACGCGUCCCGGUUUCGGGGAGUAAUUAAAGAGAGCGCAGAACAGCAUGACGCCUCGGGCCUGUCUGGGGAUUGCAAAGAACGGAAAUCGGAAAGGACGUUCCUGAAAGUUUCACACUGAUAUCUGUGAGGAACGCGACCCUAAAGGGUUGCACAGAGGGGGUUGCAAAGUCGGGUAUGUACAAAGAGGGACGAAGAGAGGAGGGGAUAGUAAGAAGGGACCGUACUCGGACCAGCCGACUACGAACCGAGCCAUUGGAUCGAUAAUGUCAUAGUGACAAGUAGCAGCACGUAAGGCAAAUUAGUUUUUGAAACGGCAAGCCGGCCGACGCCUUAUUCCCACGGCCAACUAAUAACUUCUGAUUGACAAUUUCAUUAUGUCAAUUGAGAUAAGACGGAGUAGCAUCUGCACGGGAAAUACGGUGAAAACUAACGUCAGUCUGGCGUGAGUUCUUACCAGAGAGAACGCAGAGCGCAGUAAAUCCUGAAACGAACCCGGAAUAAACUGUCCAUGCUACGGCUAUAAUAAUAUGCCUUCGUCGACGUCGCCGCUAGAUUGUUACGGGUUGUUGGAAUUGCCUCGCCGAAAACCAGUCCGCUUCGCGGUGUUCUUGGAUUACGAUGCAAUUUCUCCAGACUCAUGGGAUUGCACUGAUGACGGCCCUUAAAACUCGACAGCCCCUUCUGCUACGCUUUCUCACCCGGAAUUACGUGUAGACGCGUGUGUCGAUAAAUUCGAUGAUCUUCAGACUGUUUCCGUUAUCACGUUGACCAGAAAUUUUCCAUAACGUUUGU